CCUCUCUCAGGGUGGCAGCUGGAGAGUUUCCAGUCCUCUACCAGUCUCGGCUACGAGAGGGAGAGUCAAGCUGAGUCCUGUCCAUUCCAUUCCUAGCUUUGCCAGUGGCUAGAGAGUGGAAGGCCAUCUGCCACAAGU
rnacentral:snoRNA from 1 species